rnacentral:rRNA from 1 species
AAGACCUUGCACUUUUGGAGCGGCCGAUGUCUGAUUAGCUAGUUGGUGGGGUAAUGGCCUACCAAGGCUUCGAUCAGUAGCUGGUCUGAGAGGACGGCCAGCCACACUGGGACUGAGACACGGCCCAGACUCCUACGGGAGGCAGCAGUGGGGAAUUUUGGACAAUGGGGGCAACCCUGAUCCAGCCAUGCCGCGUGAGUGAAGAAGGCCUUCGGGUUGUAAAGCUCUUUCAGCCGGGAAGAAAAGGUUGCGACUAAUAAUCGCGAUCCAUGACGGUACCGGAAGAAGAAGCACCGGCUAACUACGUGCCAGCAGCCGCGGUAAUACGUAGGGUGCGAGCGUUAAUCGGAAUUACUGGGCGUAAAGGGUGCGCAGGCGGUCUUGUAAGUCAGAUGUGAAAUCCCCGGGCUUAACCUGGGAACU